CUUGGCUGUGACUGUUGCCGGGCAACUCACAGGCCUGGGACCCGGGCGCGGGAUGCUCUGCUCGGCCAUGGGGCCGCGGGGUUUCCCGCCGCUCCUGCUGAUGCUCCUGAGCUGCUGCGCUUCAGCGAGCACCCAGGCCGUGGCCACCCCGGCCGUGGCCACCCCGACCAUGACGAAGGAGGACCUCAACUCCACCGAGGCCAUCCCAGCCACUCUCAGGCCCUCCGGGUCGCCUAGGACCCCAGGGACUCCCAGGGCGCCGGAGCUCUCUGGCCCCAGGCCCACCCCGGUCACGGACGUUGCUGCUCUGUGUGCCUGUGACCUGCUUCCAGCACAGUGUGAUGUCAACUGCUGCUGUGAUCCUGACUGCAGCCCCACAGACUUCAGUGUCUUCUCUGCCUGCUCAGUUCCAGUUGUCACGGGUGAUAGACAAUUUUGUAGUCAGAAGGCAGCCAUCUACUCAAUGAAUUUGACAGCAGACCCUCCUCACCGGGUCUUUAAACUCAUUGACCAGAUCAACCCAUCCAUCUUCUGCAUCCAUAUUUCGAACUACAAGCCUGCACUGUCCUUUGCUAAUCCAGAAGUGCCCAACGAAGACUAUUUCAACAGAGUGACGCAAGCAUUGGGUGGUUUUACAUUGAGUGCCGAAUCAGAUGUUCCUCCCACAGCUAUAUCAGACACUCCACAGCCCACUAAAUACAAGUAUGGAGUCCCUCUGCAGACUGCAGGUGCGUCUUCAGGUUCAUUUCUUCGACUGCCUUCGCCUCUCACGUCAUCUCUGUGUACAGAUGAGAACCCUGCGGCAUUCCUGGUGAGCCAGGCCUUCAAAUGCAGCCGAAGGGUGGACAUAGAAGAGUGUGAAGGAAUGGACGCCCUCAGCAUGGCUCGUUACAGCAGCCCUGCCAUUCUGAGGGUACCUAAUUCAGCAACACAGGUCUCCAUCAAAGUUCAGUCUGUCAUGUAUCGGUCUCUCAAUCACACGCUGACCCGGUUAGAAGGCCAUGGCAUAUUGCGGCCAUCUCUGGUCAGCAUUGGGCAAGAUAGACUCUGCAGCAACGUUGUUCUCGAGGUGAAGUACAGCCUGCUGUACACGGCCACCGGCCAGAUACAAGAAGCCAGCCUCUCCCUGGUACUGGGGACGUUCAGCAACACAGUGACUCUCCUGCAGCAGAAGUUUGAGAUUCACUUUGUUCAGCACGGCACCAAGCCUGUCCCUCAUAGUGGCAACCCUGGUUACAGGGUGGGACUCCCUCUGGCCGCUGGCUUUCGGCCUCAGAAGGGGUCUGGGAUUAUUCAGACAACGAACAGACAAGGCCAACUUACUAUUCUUCGUAGCACAGGCGAGCAGGACUGCCUUGCCAGCGAGGGACUCCGGGACCCAGUGUUGUUUGGCUACAAUGUACAAUCUGGCUGUCAACUCAGACUGACAGGCACCAUCCCCUGUGGGCUCCUGGCACAGAAGAUUCAGGGCCUGCUGAGAGGCCAGGCCUUUCCUGACUAUGUGGCAGCAUUUGGGAAUUCCCAGGCCCAGGAUGUGCAGGACUGGGUGCCUGUGCGCUAUGUCACCCAUUCCUCCAACAUGAAGGGCCCUUGCCAACUCCCUGUGGCUUUAGGUAUAGAAGUGAAAUGGACUAAGUAUGGAUCUCUGCUGAACCCCCAAGCCAGGAUAGUGAACGUCACUGCCCAGCUCAUCUCCAUUCCAGAGCCCCUCCCAGGGCCCGAGAGGACAAUUGUCGUUUCCACUACAGUGACAUUUGUGGAUGUGUCAGCCCCUGCAGAGGCAGGCUUCCGAGCUCCACCCACCAUCAACGCCAGGCUGCCCUUCAGCUUCUUCUUCCCAUUUGCGUGAUGCAAGUGGCCCCCGCAGGAAUUCCAAGGAGGCAGCAGCCAUGGCACAAACCAGUUCCAGAGCACAGGAGACGCACCAUUGAUGAUCCGGGCCACCCGCCAGAGCCGCAGCAGGAUCAGCAGGCCAAGAGCUUCAAACUGGUGCUUUUUAAACAGGAGGAUGAGGUCGAGGACAAAUGACACCACCACCACGAUGGUGUCCAGGAUCUCAAACUUAUGGUGGAAGAACUCCAGGCGGAAGACGAAGAUUUUAAAGAGAAUCUCUAUCAUGAAGAAGACGAGGAUGGCAAAGCUCAUGUAGUGGAACGCCUGAGGGGACAGGGUGGGCAAGGGACACUGACCGUCACUGGCAGUCUCUGGACGCACCCCAGCCCCAAGCACACCUGCCUGGUUACCAGAGAGGACUCAGUGCUGAAGACAGUCGUCACCAACACAGGCAAGGCUUCCAGAAUUAAACAUCCCUGGCCAGGCCUGACUGUCAACCCAGUACUUGGGAAACUGAGGCAGGAAGAUCAAGAGUCGAAGGCCUGCCUGGGCCACAGAGAGAGACUGUCUCAACUAAAAAGCAAAGAUGGCUGCUGCUCUGUCAUGGGUGCUUUCAUAGCACACAUAGGCCAGGGGUUUGCUUUCCAGUGCUGGAGUGAACAAAACAAGCCCUCCACACUGUCCUCUGGCCAACUACCCUACUGAUAGGAACACAGCCUAUGGCUGGACAGACACUUGCCCAAAGCCAUAUUGGUUGUCACUGCAGUACUGUGGGCAGAACACAACUCUGUAUGGAGGGGACAAUGUCGGUGUCCAAUAAAAGGUGCACGCCUUUAAUCCCAGCACUCGGGAGGCAGAGGCAGGUGGAUCUCCAGUUCCAGGACAGCCAGGACUGUUGCACAGAGAAACCUUGUCUAUGAAUGAAUGAAUGGCGGCACCUCCCGUAACUGUUACUACACGGCUGAGGACUGGGGCAGAGUCGCACACUCCCUGAGGAGCAAUAAAGAUUAGUGGUACCUGGA